AGAACUGGGACUCCAGGGGGGCAGAUGAGCCAACUCUGGAAAUACCCCUGGUAAUGGAGGGCCUGCUUCACCUCCAAGUUUACCAGGACUCCAUCUAACCACCUGAAGAGCUGUCACACACAGAACAUUGUUCUCGAAGGAGAAAAGAGCCCCUGUGCCCACCCCUAUGCACUUUGGGCUGAGACCGACAAUCUGGCUGCAAGGACAGCAUGUUGUCCUUUUGGAAAAAUGAGAGCACUGAAGUGAAAGAGAUGACAGAGGUGUCAGAGACCCUGCUGCUGAGAGCGGAAGGGAGCAGGAGAGGACCCUACUGCCAUGGGGCAGACCUGCCAUCGGGAGACGGCUGUAACAACCAUUGAUGCACAAAUACAGCCCUUGGUUAUUGAAAAUAAG
rnacentral:lncRNA from 1 species